rnacentral:rRNA from 1 species
UUAAGCGACUAAGCGUACACGGUGGAUGCCCUGGCAGUCAGAGGCGAUGAAGGACGUGCUAAUCUGCGAUAAGCGUCGGUAAGGUGAUAUGAACCGUUAUAACCGGCGAUUUCCGAAUGGGGAAACCCAGUGUGUUUCGACACACUAUCAUUAACUGAAUCCAUAGGUUAAUGAGGCGAACCGGGGGAACUGAAACAUCUAAGUACCCCGAGGAAAAGAAAUCAACCGAGAUUCCCCCAGUAGCGGCGAGCGAACGGGGAGCAGCCCAGAGCCUGAAUCAGUGUGUGUGUUAGUGGAAGCGUCUGGAAAGGCGCGCGAUACAGGGUGACAGCCCCGUACACAAAAAUGCACAUGCUGUGAGCUCGAUGAGUAGGGCGGGACACGUGGUAUCCUGUCUGAAUAUGGGGGGACCAUCCUCCAAGGCUAAAUACUCCUGACUGACCGAUAGUGAACCAGUACCGUGAGGGAAAGGCGAAAAGAACCCCGGCGAGGGGAGUGAAAAAGAACCUGAAACCGUGUACGUACAAGCAGUGGGAGCACGCUUCGGCGUGUGACUGCGUACCUUUUGUAUAAUGGGUCAGCGACUUAUAUUCUGUAGCAAGGUUAACCGAAUAGGGGAGCCGAAGGGAAACCGAGUCUUAACUGGGCGUUAAGUUGCAGGGUAUAGACCCGAAACCCGGUGAUCUAGCCAUGGGCAGGUUGAAGGUUGGGUAACACUAACUGGAGGACCGAACCGACUAAUGUUGAAAAAUUAGCGGAUGACUUGUGGCUGGGGGUGAAAGGCCAAUCAAACCGGGAGAUAGCUGGUUCUCCCCGAAAGCUAUUUAGGUAGCGCCUCGUGAAUUCAUCUCCGGGGGUAGAGCACUGUUUCGGCAAGGGGGUCAUCCCGACUUACCAACCCGAUGCAAACUGCGAAUACCGGAGAAUGUUAUCACGGGAGACACACGGCGGGUGCUAACGUCCGUCGUGAAGAGGGAAACAACCCAGACCGCCAGCUAAGGUCCCAAAGUCAUGGUUAAGUGGGAAACGAUGUGGGAAGGCCCAGACAGCCAGGAUGUUGGCUUAGAAGCAGCCAUCAUUUAAAGAAAGCGUAAUAGCUCACUGGUCGAGUCGGCCUGCGCGGAAGAUGUAACGGGGCUAAACCAUGCACCGAAGCUGCGGCAGCGACGCUUAUGCGUUGUUGGGUAGGGGAGCGUUCUGUAAGCCUGCGAAGGUGUGCUGUGAGGCAUGCUGGAGGUAUCAGAAGUGCGAAUGCUGACAUAAGUAACGAUAAAGCGGGUGAAAAGCCCGCUCGCCGGAAGACCAAGGGUUCCUGUCCAACGUUAAUCGGGGCAGGGUGAGUCGACCCCUAAGGCGAGGCCGAAAGGCGUAGUCGAUGGGAAACAGGUUAAUAUUCCUGUACUUGGUGUUACUGCGAAGGGGGGACGGAGAAGGCUAUGUUGGCCGGGCGACGGUUGUCCCGGUUUAAGCGUGUAGGCUGGUUUUCCAGGCAAAUCCGGAAAAUCAAGGCUGAGGCGUGAUGACGAGGCACUACGGUGCUGAAGCAACAAAUGCCCUGCUUCCAGGAAAAGCCUCUAAGCAUCAGGUAACAUCAAAUCGUACCCCAAACCGACACAGGUGGUCAGGUAGAGAAUACCAAGGCGCUUGAGAGAACUCGGGUGAAGGAACUAGGCAAAAUGGUGCCGUAACUUCGGGAGAAGGCACGCUGAUAUGUAGGUGAAGUCCCUUGCGGAUGGAGCUGAAAUCAGUCGAAGAUACCAGCUGGCUGCAACUGUUUAUUAAAAACACAGCACUGUGCAAACACGAAAGUGGACGUAUACGGUGUGACGCCUGCCCGGUGCCGGAAGGUUAAUUGAUGGGGUUAGCCGCAAGGCGAAGCUCUUGAUCGAAGCCCCGGUAAACGGCGGCCGUAACUAUAACGGUCCUAAGGUAGCGAAAUUCCUUGUCGGGUAAGUUCCGACCUGCACGAAUGGCGUAAUGAUGGCCAGGCUGUCUCCACCCGAGACUCAGUGAAAUUGAACUCGCUGUGAAGAUGCAGUGUACCCGCGGCAAGACGGAAAGACCCCGUGAACCUUUACUAUAGCUUGACACUGAACAUUGAGCCUUGAUGUGUAGGAUAGGUGGGAGGCUUUGAAGUGUGGACGCCAGUCUGCAUGGAGCCGACCUUGAAAUACCACCCUUUAAUGUUUGAUGUUCUAACGUUGACCCGUAAUCCGGGUUGCGGACAGUGUCUGGUGGGUAGUUUGACUGGGGCGGUCUCCUCCUAAAGAGUAACGGAGGAGCACGAAGGUUGGCUAAUCCUGGUCGGACAUCAGGAGGUUAGUGCAAUGGCAUAAGCCAGCUUGACUGCGAGCGUGACGGCGCGAGCAGGUGCGAAAGCAGGUCAUAGUGAUCCGGUGGUUCUGAAUGGAAGGGCCAUCGCUCAACGGAUAAAAGGUACUCCGGGGAUAACAGGCUGAUACCGCCCAAGAGUUCAUAUCGACGGCGGUGUUUGGCACCUCGAUGUCGGCUCAUCACAUCCUGGGGCUGAAGUAGGUCCCAAGGGUAUGGCUGUUCGCCAUUUAAAGUGGUACGCGAGCUGGGUUUAGAACGUCGUGAGACAGUUCGGUCCCUAUCUGCCGUGGGCGCUGGAGAACUGAGGGGGGCUGCUCCUAGUACGAGAGGACCGGAGUGGACGCAUCACUGGUGUUCGGGUUGUCAUGCCAAUGGCACUGCCCGGUAGCUAAAUGCGGAAGAGAUAAGUGCUGAAAGCAUCUAAGCACGAAACUUGCCCCGAGAUGAGUUCUCCCUGACCCUUUAAGGGUCCUGAAGGAACGUUGAAGACGACGACGUUGAUAGGCCGGGUGUGUAAGCGCAGCGAUGCGUUGAGCUAACCGGUACUAAUGAACCGUGAGGCUUAACCUU